GGAUAGCUCAGUUGGUUAGAGCACAGUGCUGAUAAUGGCAAGGUUGCGGGUUUGAUCCCUGCAUGGGACA